rnacentral:rRNA from 1 species
AUUGAACGCUGGCGGCAGGCCUAACACAUGCAAGUCGAACGGUAACAGGAAGAAGCUUGCUUCUUUGCUGACGAGUGGCGGACGGGUGAGUAAUGUCUGGGAAACUGCCUGAUGGAGGGGGAUAACUACUGGAAACGGUAGCUAAUACCGCAUAACGUCGCAAGACCAAAAAGGGGGACCUUCGGGCCUCUUGCCAUCGGAUGUGCCCAGAUGGGAUUAGCUAGUAGGUGGGGUAACGGCUCACCUAGGCGACGAUCCCUAGCUGGUCUGAGAGGAUGACCAGCCACACUGGAACUGGGACAAGGUCCAGACUCCUACGGGAGGCAGCAGUGGGGAAUAUUGCACAAUGGGCGCAAGCCUGAUGCAGCCAUGCCGCGUGUAUGAAGAAGGCCUUCGGGUUGUAAAGUACUUUCAGCGGGGAGGAAGGGAGGAAAGUUAAUACCUUUGCUUAUUGACGUUACCCGCAGAAGAAGCACCGGCUAACUCCGUG